AUGGGUAGGGCAAGAAGGGGAACGGCGGCCAAGGGCAAGAGGAGGCCGCGUCCUGCGGCGAAGGCGGCAGCCGUGGCGGGCGACGGGCACGAGGAAACCAAAGAUGGACCUGAGAAAGCCGCCGGCGGCGGGGGCCGCUUCUUCUGCUGCUACCUCCUCCGUUCGCUCUGCCCGCGCAGCAAGAGCCGCACGUACAUCGGGUUCACGGUGAACCCGCGGCGGCGGAUCCGGCAGCACAACGGCGAGCUCCGAUGCGGCGCCUGGCGGACCAAGCGCGGCCGCCCCUGGGAGAUGAUGCUCUGCAUCUACGGCUUCCCCACCAACGUCGCCGCCCUCCAGUUCGAGUGGGCGUGGCAGCACCCAACCGAGUCGCUGGCCGUCCGCAAGGCCGCCGCCGAAUUCAAGUCGCUCGGCGGCAUCGGCAACAAGGUCAAACUCGCCUACACCAUGCUCAACCUCCCUUCAUGGGAGAACUUGAAUCUGACGGUGAACUUCUUCUCCACCAAGAAUACCAAGUUCACCGCGGGCUGCCCGGCCCUCCCCUGCCACAUGAAGACUGUCGUUAGCCCGAUGGAGGAUCUCCCGUGCUACGUCGAGGGCCUUUCGUCCGAGGAGGAUAUUAUGGAGCCUAGAGAGGAUGAAGAAGAACCAGAUGCGGUUGUUGGCAGCGACGCUUCUGAUCAUGGUUUGCAGACACUGGAUUUGGAAACCAGAAUUGUAGGCGGUGAAUCAGACACUGAUGAGUUUUUUGCUCCAAUGGAUCGGAGUGAGGUCAUUGCAUCAAGAAUUUCAGAAUCCUCUGCAGCCCAGCCAGUGGAAGAAGAAACCAGAAUUGCUGACUGUGAUGUUGAAUAUACCGUUGAUGACUUCGGUGAAUCAGACACUGAUGAGUUUUUUGCCCCGAUGGAACGGAGUGGGGUCUGUGGAUCAAGAAUUUCAGAAUCCUCUGCGGCCCAACCAGUGGAAGAAGAAACCAGAAUUGCUGACUCUGAUGUUGAAUAUCCCACUGAUGACUUCGGUUACAUGGAAUGGGGAGGAAUUCACGAGACAUCGGAAUUGCACGUGUCUAGAACACCACCUCGAUGUUCCUCGAGCUCGUGCAGCGAUGAUGUUGCUGGAAGAUCAGUAAACUGUGUGACAGGAGAAGCAUCUCCAGUGUUGAAGGCAGGUUCAGACGAUGGUAAUCUUUUCUUCCAUGAAAUUGAUGUGGUAGACUUGGUUACACCAGUCGCCCGGUUUGCUAGAGAUUGCAGCAAAGUGGCCAGCAUUUGCCCCAAGAUUAUUGAUCUGACAAAUUCCCCUAUUGUCAUUGAGUUGUAA
rnacentral:rRNA from 1 species